rnacentral:rRNA from 1 species
AUUGAACGCUGGCGGCAUGCCUUACACAUGCAAGUCGAACGGCAGCGCGGACUUCGGUCUGGCGGCGAGUGGCGAACGGGUGAGUAAUACAUCGGAACGUACCCUGUUGUGGGGGAUAACUAGUCGAAAGAUUAGCUAAUACCGCAUACGACCUGAGGGUGAAAGUGGGGGACCGCAAGGCCUCACGCAGCAGGAGCGGCCGAUGUCUGAUUAGCUAGUUGGUGGGGUAAAGGCCCACCAAGGCGACGAUCAGUAGCUGGUCUGAGAGGACGAUCAGCCACACUGGAACUGAGACACGGCCCAGACUCCUACGGGAGGCAGCAGUGGGGAAUUUUGGACAAUGGGGGCAACCCUGAUCCAGCAAUGCCGCGUGUGUGAAGAAGGCCUUCGGGUUGUAAAGCACUUUUGUCCGGAAAGAAAUCGCGCUGGUUAAUACCUGGCGUGGAUGACGGUACCGGAAGAAUAAGCACCGGCUAACUACGUG